UACGGGGGGGGCAAGCGUUGUUCGGAAUUACUGGGCGUAAAGGGCUCGUAGGUGGCCAACUAAGUCAGACGUGAAAUCCCUCGGCUUAACCGGGGAACUGCGUCUGAUACUGGAUGGCUUGAGUUCGGGAGAGGGAUGCGGAAUUCCAGGUGUAGCGGUGAAAUGCGUAGAUAUCAAGAGGAACACCUGAGGUGAAGACGGGUUGCUGGGCCAACACUGACGCUGAGGCGCGAAAGCCAGGGGAGCAAACGGG
rnacentral:rRNA from 1 species